rnacentral:rRNA from 1 species
UACGUAGGGGGCAAGCGUUGUCCGGAAUCAUUGGGCGUAAAGCGCGUGUAGGCGGUUCGUUAAGUCUGCUGUGAAAGUCCAGGGCUCAACCCUGGGAUGCCGGUGGAUACUGUCGGACUAGAGUACGGAAGAGGCGAGUGGAAUUCCCGGUGUAGCGGUGAAAUGCGCAGAUAUCGGGAGGAACACCAAUUGCGAAGGCAGCUCGCUGGGACGUCACUGACGCUGAGACGCGAAAGCGUGGGGAGCAAACAGG